GAUUUUGCAAACUGAGAAAGUCAACUGGCAUUUUGUAAUUCCAUGGAGACAUCUGGGCAAGACAUCAGAGAUUUUUUUCAAAUACUUACUGAAAGAAGAGAAGAAAGGAGAGGACCC